UACAGAGGUCUCAAGCGUUGUUCGGAUUCAUUGGGCGUAAAGGGUGCGUAGGCGGCGCGGUAAGUCGGGUGUGAAAUCUCGGAGCUUAACUCCGAAACUGCAUUUGAUACUGCGGUGCUUGAGGACUGGAGAGGAGACUGGAAUUUACGGUGUAGCGGUGAAAUGCGUAGAUAUCGUAAGGAAGACCAGUGGCGAAGGCGGGUCUCUGGACAGUUCCUGACACUGAGGCACGAAGGCCAGGGGAGCAAACGGG
rnacentral:rRNA from 1 species